rnacentral:tRNA from 1 species
UAAUGAAAAGCGAAAAUUUGCAAUCGGUUUCGACCCGAUCUUUGGUUUAACAUAUACCUUCAUUAU